UGCCCACUGAUAUUUAUUAAAGGGCUGCAGUAUUUUGACUGUACAAAGGUAGCAUAAUCAUUAGUCAUUUAAUUGGUGACUUGUAUGAACGAUUUGAUGAAAUAUAAACUGUUUCUAUAAUAUAUUAUGAAAUUUAAUUUUUUUAUUAAAAAGUAAAAAUGAAUUUAAAAGACGAGAAGACCCUAUAGAGUUUUAUUAUUAUAUUAAUUUAAUUUAUUUAUUUAUUUAGAAAUUUAAAUUAGUAAAUUAAUUUUGUUGGGGUGAUAUAAAAAUAAAAUUAACUUUUUAUAAAUAUAAACAUAAAUAAAUGAUUAAAUGAUCCAAUAAUUUGUUUUGAUUAUAAGAAUAAAUUACCUUAGGGAUAACAGCGUAAUUUUUUUUUUUAGUUCAAAUAAGAAAAAAAGUUUGCGACCUCGAUGUUGGAUUAAGAUAAAAUUUAAAUGUAGAAGUUUAAAAUUUUUGA
rnacentral:rRNA from 1 species